GUGUGUGUGUGUGUUGACAAUUCCUUACAGAAAGAGCUAGCAAGAGUAGGAGAGAGGAACACCACUGUUGUUAACACAGCACAAGAAAAAAAACAGAAAUCGUAUAAUUUUGUGAGCUGCUUAGGAGUUUGAGGUGAACCACAGACAAGGGUUGUAACUGUUAUGGUAAUGUACUUCUCUCGUGCCCCAUGUGUACACCUGGAUGAGUUACUCUGCAUCAUGAGAGACAGUACUGUAUAAACAUUAGCCUCAUAAGUGGUGAGAAAUAUAUAGCUUCUGCUGUUUGUUUGUGGUUAAAUGGAUGGUAUUUUGUUUUUAUCAUAAUGCUUUUUAUGUGUAAAACACCAUUUGCUAUCGCGAGGCUUCACUUCUCGCCAGUGAGGGUGGGAUGGUGUUCUCUGCAUGCCCAAGGACUGGCACACUUUCAUCUACCUAUACAUGUAUACUAAAGAAAAUCCAUGGUGAAUCCUUUAAAGUUAAAUCUUUUGAUAUGGUAAUAAGUCUCAAUGUGUUUUGCAUCAGCAGAGAGUUAUGGUGUUGUGGUUGACUUUUGGUAUACCCUCUUCUUUUUAUAUUAUUACUGGGAUGAUGAUGCUGAGGAAGAUAGCUUGAUGGACGGUAGACUCUAGUAAGUGAUUCACUUUUUUAUAUUAACCCCACACCCUUGUUUGUGUUGAUUGAGACAGCUAUGGAACACUUAGCCACAAAAUCCAGUUAAGUUUAGCAUAGGAUAAAGAAGCAUUUAUAUUGGGAAAUGUGAGAGGCAUUAAGUGGUUCACAUUAUUAUAUGGAACUGUCUGUUAGUUGAGCUGAUAUUCAAACUAAUUGUUUGGAAUGCCUGGCACUUAACUGAGGAGUUUUUAUCAGGUGAAGAAUAAAUGUGUUUUGUUAUUGUAAAGAGUGAGUGUGUGGUGCAGCCUGUUGUAUGACUCUAACAUUAUCCACAGAGAGUGAGAUGGUUUAUGGAUGCUACUGACACAGGUUAUGUAUGAGUGUGUGUGUGUUGUGACAAACUAGCUAAACAUCUCUAUGUGUAGAGGAUAAGAUGACAGUUAACACAGAAUUAUGCUCUCAGCUGGUCUUGAUAAACACAAGCAAUUAAGAAUGCUCUGCUUCUCAAUGUUGCCUUUCGUCUUGGGUCUAGUAGUAAUGGGCUCAUUUGCCUGGAAAAUAUAUCGUGUAUGCCACAUCUUCUUAAAAACUGGCUAUGAAAUGUCUCAAAGAUGUCUCUUAACCUUUAUGGUAUUCUGUUCAGUUGAGAUGACCUGCAGUUGAACACCUCUUGAGUAACUCUUAUGUAAAUUGAAGGACUUUGUGCUAUACUUUGAUAUCAUAUUUAGUUUAUGGACAUUUAUUAUAAUAGUGUUGCCUACAUUAUGUGAGCUACAUUGAACCACAGUCGGAUUAACCCAAUCAACAGUAAUGUAGCAGUCAUGCAAUCACUCUUGUUUUUUCUCUUGUGAAGUGCUCACCCACUUGAAGUUGCACCAUAAUGCCACCAUAUAUGUAGGACUUGUGUGACAAAGCUGUGUGUGUGUGUUUUUCCACACUAUAAAUUUUGAUUAUUCAUUUUGACAUUUUGGUAUAAAAAAAAUGUAUUCCACCAGUGUGUGAGUGUUCAUAGUUUGUAAUGUGCACCAUAGUUCAGUAUCACAAUAUAAAAUACUGUAAAAUCCCAAAGACCCUUCUCCAAAGUCUUCUCCAAAGUCUUCUCCAAAGACCCUUCUCCAAAGUCUUCUGAAUGAUAGUAUAAAUUCUUGUCUCUUAUAUUAAUCAUAGCUCUGAGGUUUGUCUCUUGAUGCCCCUAUAAAUUGUUCACUCAUCAUGCCACUGGGUUGUACAUUGUUGCCAGUAUUUCUUUAGUCAUGACAACAAGGGUAUCCUUUGUCACUAAUUUAGUUCCCCUGUGGAAGUGUUCACAGUCCCUCUGAUGUGUUGUUAGACCUGACAGUCAAGAUAACCUUAUAUACAGUACCUCCUGCACACUGUGUACAACACCACAUGAGACUAGUUCCCUGCCAUGCCACUUACAUCAAGCCAAAGUGACCUUUUAAGUACCAGACACACUCAAUAUGACAGAUUCCCACCACAUGCCAUGCUGGACCACUCAUUAAGGCAAGAAUUCCCCUACACCAACAUUACCUGUCAGACCAUAGUACAAGAUACUGUACACAGAUAUAAUAGAGGAAUGUUUAGUCUUCAAGGAUGGGAAGAUAAAUUAUAAUCUUGGUGCCGUGUAUAUUCCUUACAUUAUAUAAGAUGUGUAGUCUUGGUAGAAAUAUUAUGAACAGAGAGAUUAAUAAGAUACAGUAUAUGAUAAUUUUGUCAUAUAUACUACUAUAAGAGUUUGCACAUACAUCUAAUCUGUACCAAAAUCUGAUUUCAUCCUCAUUUAGAUAAUUGAACUUUUAAAAUACUUAUAUACUUAUUUCUAAGAUUUUGGGAAGUAUGAAUUAAGGAUUCCACAAAAUGAUUAGAAUUAAAAUUUCACCAAAUAUGAAGAUACUAAUAACAGUGAGAGGAUUGAUUGCAUAAAUAAGACUUGAUAAAAGUAUCUGUUUCUUCUGACUGCCGUUGUUACAUAAAUGCAUUUUAGCUGUAUUGUGGAAACUUCAUUAAGACUGUGCGAGGGACGCUCAAGUCCCCUUCUUCAGUACAGUAUAUGAUGACUUAAGAUUGUUGGAAACAUGUGUGGCUACUAUGGUCCUGUAUAUCUUUUCUCAGGUUUUUGAGCCCCUUUUUCUUAAGUUGUAGGAAUGCCAUGCUAUAAUGUAUUAAGAUCCUUUACUCCUAGCAGUUAAGUAACCUCUUUACUAUGAAUUAUGCUUUGUGAUAAUGCAUUUACUCAGUCUAUAAAGAUUAACAGUAUUAGAUGAUACUAAGGCAUGAUUGUGUAGUGUUCUUAUUAACCAGGAUAUGUAAGGACUGCAGUAGUUUUGAGUAUUCUACUUUCAGACACACAGAAAAUAACUUCAUUCCAAUUUUUUCCAAGUGAUGUAAUCUUUGUUUCCAAGACUUACUGAAACAUCAUUCAUACUUGAUCAAAAAUCACAGUGAGAAAGUCUGUCUAUUGUGUAGAAGUUGGUUUACUGUGUGGGUCUGGCAGUUGACAGUGGUGGUGGUGAAGGUGGUGGUAAUGGUGGUGGGUUACCUCCCAGGUGAUGGUGAGUGAGGGUUUGAUGGUGAGGGGACCCAUGGCAGGCAGUGUGGGCUCCCCCAUGGGGGUCGGGGGGCCACCACCGCCACCCAUGAUGCGGCCCGGCCCACACCACCCAGCCAUGAUGGGUCCAGGACCCUCAGUGGUGAUGGGUGGGCCUCGCCUACCUCCACACAUGGGUCAUGGUCCCCCCGGGGGCCACCCACACCUGCCCACAGGGCCACCGUCCAUGGGUCCACCCGGCCCUCAUGGCCCCCAUGGCCCCCAUGGUCCAUCCGGCCCUCAUGGCCCAAUGCUGCCGCCACAGCCACUCAGGCGACCACUACUACUGCAGGAACAGCCCUUGUUAAUAGAAGAUUUAUUGGAACAAGAGAAACAAGAGCAGAUGAAGCAGCAGAAAGCCAACCAUCACCAGCAACAAGAAACCUUAGGACCUGUGGAACUCAACCUCAGCGACAUGGAUUACGAGAAGCUCAAGGCCGACGUGCUCUCAGUGGGGAACCAAUCCGUCGGCAUACCACCAAUAUCAGGUGGACAAAUAGUUAGUAACAACGGGGGAGUGAGACAACCGUACCAACGCAUAGUGGGUCCUGUUCAGCCACCCUCCACCACCCAGCAGACACAUCAGGUACCAGGUCCUGUCCAACCCAUGACCCGCCCGGUACGACCUCAGGCUGACCCUGGUAUGCAUCCCGGUAAGUCUCUCCUACAAGCGGUUGGUUCACGUGGAACUGUGCCUUCAACACCAGGCACUGUCAACAUUAAGACACUUCCUCCACCUCCACACCCACCUGAUAAUCCUCAAACUGAUGCAGAAAGACAACAACAGCUUCAGUAUGAACAGUGGCUUGCACAACAACAUAACCUAAUUGGUAAUCAGCAGAGGUAUUACGAAACAGAAAUCAUAAAACUUCGAAAGCAGCGGAAAAGUUUGAACAGUCGUCAGAGAACGUUGAAAAAAAAUGGUCAGGAAUUAAAUGAACACGAUGCAGCAGAGCUCGCCCGUGUUCAGAGAGAAGCGUCUGCCAUACAGCGGCACCUAGAACAGUGUCGCAAGUCUGCCCGACAACACGCCAUGAUCAUGCAGGAAUACAACAAUAAAAAGAGAAAUAGGCAAACUCAUAUAAAUGUACUGAACACUCAAGGUGGGGUAAUGAGUGCAUCUCCAGGAACCAUGAUGACUGGGGCUUCUCCCAUAGGUCCUACAGGUUCAUCACCCAUGCACUCUACACCACAAAGCCCUCUCAUGUCUCCCUCCCCAUCAUCACAACCAGGGAUGGGUUUGAGCCCUAUGGUUCCUUCACCACACACUCCAGUUGCAUCCCCUAACCCUACAAUAGUUCCUCAGCACUCCCCUCAUGCUAUGGUAGUCCCGGGUCCACAUCCUUCCCCGGGAGAAUCACCUUUUAGCCCUCAGACGCGCAUGCCAUCCCCGGGAGGAGGGUAUCCCGACCAAGGUCCACGUCCUACUUACCCAGGCACACCCCAGGGUAUGACACAUCACAUGAUGGUGCCUCAGAUGAGAGUUAGAAUGCCUGUUCACAGUCCUGGCACUCAGACGGUACAGCCGGGUCAAAUGUCUCCGCACAUGAUGGGGGUAAGAUCGACAUACCCACAGGCUGGAGUGAUGAUGCCUCAGGGGCAAGGACCAUCAAUGAUGAUGAGACAUCAGUACCCUCAGGGAGUGAUGCCUCUCAGAAGACCUUCAGGAUCAGGACCUGUUCCAAGCCCAGGUUCAGUUGGCCCCAUCCCAAGUCCAAGUGGACCUGUUCCAAGUCCAUUAGGUGGUGGAAUGGCUAUGAAACCAAGUCCAGUUCAUAGUGGUUUAAAGAGCCCUGUCCCUCUGGCUAGUCCCAGUUCAUGUGGCCCAGUCCCAAGUCCCAUAUCAGGGAAUAUGUCUAUGAAACCCAGUCCAGUACAUAGUGGUUUAAGGAGUCCUGUACCCCUUGCCAGUCCCCAGAUGCGUCCUCACAGUGUAGAAAACCCAAGUACUCCUUUAACUCCUCGCAGUGUUGGUACGGGGGAAAUUGGUGGAGCACCUCACACUCCCCAUAGUGAUAUAGGGGGUGCUAGUAGUAACAGUAGUCAAGUUAAUAGUCCUCAUCCCUCUGUGCCUACACCUACUAGUGAUGCAGUGCCCUCGCCCGCCUCCUCAUCCACACCUUCUUCUGUAGGAGGAGGAACAAUUGCACCAAGAUCAGGAGGAGGAGGAGGAGGCAAUGCUAAUAACCCCAAUAAUCCAGCACCUCUUCCUCCUUAUAUAAGAAGAUUUGGAUAUUUCAAGCCGGGACUUAGAGGAGGUACUCUCCUUAGAAGUCGCUGGGGACACUUCAAGUUUGGCUUGAAGGGUGGAGCACCCCUCGGGGAAGUGGAAAAUAAUGCAGUACAGACCACGUCCAGCAACGCACUAGUAACGAUGCCACCCACCAACACCACGGCCAGUAUCAGCACGUCUUCGUCUCCCAUUUUAAGAUUAACAAAUCUCAUGGCACCAUCAAUAAAGAAUGAAGUAGAGACUCAUGAAGGCCAGGAAGGUUUAGCCCAUGUGUUAAGUGAAAGUGUUAAAGGACCGGUUGUGAGGAUGAUAGGUGGUGGGGGGACACGCUCUGUCCAGUCUACAUAUUCUCCUGCAGGAUUAACCACCUCAAUGAUAACUCAGAUGUCAUCUUGUGCAAAUAAAGUAGUGGUUCCAGAGCCCCUAAAGUCUGAAAUUCCUCCAUCAAGUCGACAUCAAGCAGUAAUUGGUAUUCCUGGCGGAGGUGCCAUCUUUUCACAAAACAGUAUGUACCCCAGUCACACUGUAGCCGUGGCUCCGGGAAUUAGGUUACCAAGUGUUAAUGCUUCUGGAAAUUACCCAUCGAAUACUGCCACGGGAUGUAUAGCUACUCCCAGCACUGGUGUGUUGGGCGUAACAGUUGGCACCUCGGGUAAUGGUGGCAUUAGUGGUUCUCUGGUGCCACCACCCAUAAUGUCUGUUACCUCAAGUACUCCAGCCACAACUGGUCUCUACAACUCAAACACUGUACCUACCUGUAUAAGUCGACCUCUGGAUGAAGUAUCCACCCAUAGUACAAUGGUUAGCAUCAAUGACCAAGUAAGUGGGAUUUCAAGUGGGUUAACAAACUAUGCAAACAAUAUAGGUUUACCUACAAGUUCAAUGUCAGCAAUGACUCACACCACAUCUUCUCUCGGUCGCCCAUUAGUGAGCGUUCCUCUGCAACAGAUUGGUUUACAGUCGAGACCUUUAUUAAACACGUCUGGAACCCCGACAGUGGCGACGCAGCAGCUUCGAACCCUCCCGUCCAUAGGCCAGCUGCAACAGGGGACACGGCAGUUUAGAACGCAGGUAAUGAGAGCACCGGUUUCACAAACUGGAAUUCACGAUUCAGAAGGCCAAAAAGUAGUAACUCAGCAACAUGUAAUGCAUCAGUCGAUUGGUCAACCAGUUGGGGUAUUAUCUAGUGGUGUUCCUCAAUCAGUGGGCCAGCAGACUUGGAUUCAGACUUCAAGUGGGACCCUAUCUCAGGGUGGAGUCGUCAUGCAAGGUGGUGUACCGCAGACUGUUGGCGUACGCAUGGUAACACAGCCAAUGAUGGUUCAGCAAACCAUUGUGCGUAGUGGCAGCGUUAUGGUACGUCCAGGUGCCAGCGGCCAAGUGCGAAUGAUGAUGAUCCACGGAGGACAACCGGUCCGUACGCCUUCCCCUCCCGUGAUUCGGCCAACCAUGAUGCCUCCGCCAGCCGUCAAGUCUCCGGCAGGGCACUCUGCGAGUCCUGUACCUCGUGUAUCUCCAGCCCCAUCUCCUCUGUCUAAUCAUCCUUCUCCCCACUCUCCUCAAAUUACGGGGCCGUCUCCUCUAUUGGGAUCUCCUGCCCCCAGUCCUCACAGCUCUCUUCCUACACUUUCAAGUAUUAUUAAAAGGGAACCAGAUGAAGAGCGCCCAGGACCUUGUGGUACUCCCAACAUCCCUCAUUCAAGUGUUGGCAUUCCUCAGCCUCCUGGCACCUUGCAUGUGACUGUCAGUGGUACAGUGCCACAAACAACUACACAGUUACCACUCAUAAACCACCCACACUUAACAACUCAAGGUUCUUCAAUACUUACUGGACCAAUAAAAUCAGAAGGACUGAGUGAGGGUAUGAGUAAGGAAUCCUCAAAUGCAUUGCUGAAGCAACUGUUGGAGAAUACUGGAUGUGCUAGUCCAAUGCAGCAGCCUGCCCAAGGUCAACUGGUGUUAUUUAGGUCAACUCAAGGAACAAUUCCGAUGCAGUCAUCUCAUUUAUCCCAGGUCGCUUCACAGGUGCCUAAUCCAACCCCCAUAAUAGUACCUCGUAGUGUUGUGCCUGUUUCAGCACAGAGCUCUCAUGCGCCUGUAUUACACUCCACAAGUGCUGCAUCCAUCAUGUCUCAGAAUACAGACAUUCAGCAGCAACACCAUACGGUAAUUACACCUGGAACCCAACCGCAGACCUUAGGGCCCAGUCCACAAAUAAUGCAGCGCUCUGUGGUAGUGUCGUCCGGUCCUCCGCCAACUGGUGGUACUCACACCGUUGUCUUGGGUCAACAGCAGCAAAUAAUAGCCCAGCCCGGUACUCAAGUUAACCUUAGUCACUCAGUGGCCCGUCUUGGAGUGCCAUAUACUGGUCAGAGUCAUCCCGUUCAGCACCCAGUCACUCCUCACCCAUCUAGUCAACAUGCAGGUAUACGGCAGGUCACAACUCACCACAUAAGUCAUCCGGGCAUGAUUCCUUCUUCUGGUCAUCAUGUGGUUCCAGGUCAGCUAACUCACCAGACAAUAACUGUCAGUCACCCAAGUCGUCCAUUGGGCCACCCUGGUGCUCCCUCGGGCCCCCACAUGGUCGUUCACCCGGGGCUUCGACCCUCACACCCAGGUCAACACCCUUUAGCAAAUGCUCAUCCGCCAGGUACACAUCUUAUAUCAGGCUCACAUCCUGCUUUGAAUGCCACUGUAAUGAAUGCCACUCCAACCCCAGCUAGUAUGGCAGACAGAAUAAACAGCGACCCCGCUCUUAAAACAGAGAUGAGAGUAAUGAUCCCAGAGACCGUAAUGGGUACAGGUACUAGCACCGGAGAACACACACCAGAGAUGACUACACCAAAUGAAGGCUCAGACUCUAUGGACCCUGAAGAACUUAAGAGAGCCAAGAAACGAGCUCAACAAGCUAGAAGGAAAAGUCAGAGUAAGGACACCAAGGUACAACCAGCCAAGAGGGCCAGGCAGGGAUCUCGAGUAGAAGAGGAUUAUGAUGCUUACAUAGAGAGUGUGAUGCAACAGCUGAGGAGUAUGCCACCACUCACCAUUAUGGAACCUGAAGUACCAAGAAACUUUAACCUUUGUCCAAUGUUUGGCAGUGGUGACUUAACUAAACUAGGCAGACGAGACUAUAACCAUCGGCAAGGAGUCUUAGAAGGCUCGGAAGGUCAUGCGACCAUUAAAAAUGUCACCGAUUACUACAAUACUCAACCUUUUGGUGACAAGCUGCCUCUCGUUACUCCUGCUAAAACUGCUCCCACGCAGCGAGGUUUUUACAUUCACGAAUUUACGCCGCCAAAGAUUGGACUUCCAUUAGAUGAAUACCAAGAGGGUGACUCUGUAAGUGGCUCCAAUCGUCCAACUCCAGCGCCAACUCCAACCAGAGAUGCAGAUUCUCCAGAUACUGUUCUAAGUUCCUCUUCACCAGAAUGCAUCCUACCUGAAUCACCUCUCCCAUUCAAGGGUCUGAGACUGGUUGAUAUGGAUGAAGAUCCUCAAGAGGAGCAGCGUGACCGUUCUCUCUCUCCAGCUAUUCCUCUCUUAAUACCCACUCCAAUUAGACCUGGACAGUUACCAUUCCUUCCUUCUCUUGACAAAGAUAGUAAGGAUAUUCCAGAACUGGAUAAGGAGAAUAUCGGUCGUCUUUCCAGCAUUACGAUGAAGAGUCGUGUAGGGCAAUCGCCAGCAUUGCCUUUAAAAGAUAUGGGUAAUGUUACUGUCACUCUCACGUUGUCAUCUCAGGCCGGGGAAGACGUGUCUGGCGUCUUACGUUCUUUGGCCAACCUCUUGAACAUUCCUCCGCCGUCGUCGUACCAAAUGGCCGACCGAUUCGAGGCCCCCAAGUUACCGAGGCUUUACCGUCACAAGCAUCCAAAAGAUGGUAAAGAACAAGUGGUGGACAUUCAGAGUAUUCUAAAUGGACAGGCACGCUUCUGUCGACAUUGUGAUAUCAUUAUAUUAAAAGAUAUUUUAUGCAAGAGAGUGUCGGAGCUUCCUUUCUUGAAUAAAGAAGAGUAUGGAAGUGUUGAAGAAGUCACUUUUUGUUCACAGCAAUGCUAUGUACAGUUUGCAUUAUCACAUCGCAUGGUUGUUGACGAAAGAGGAAAACACGAAGGAACAAGUAGAUUCUCCAAGCAGAGAGAUUCACUGGGAGAUAUGAAAGACCCUUCAAUUAUGUCCGACGAUGCUCUCCCAGACUGGACAAAGGAUGAAGAUAUGGACGAAGUUCUACGGGUGCCUCGGCUGGAAGAUUCUCUGCUUAGUCGACCCAACAAACAUAAGAUAGAAGACGAUGAGGAUCAGUUCCCAAAACAACCCGAUGGGAAACGUUUUCGUGGUCACAAGUACAAGUGCUGGACACCCAGUGCUCUUACUCUUCCCGAAAAUUAUGAAAAACCAACACCAAAGGAAAUGACAGACUUACUGUUUCGUAUGGGUAUUACUUACAGAAAACACCGAUUACGAGACGACACCCGCCAGUGCGUUCUGUGUAAUCUGUAUGGAGAUUACGUUGCUGAUGGGCCUUCAAGACUGCUUAAUUUUGAUGUAGAUAAAUGGGUACAUCUGAACUGUGCUCUCUGGGCAGAAGAUGUUUAUGAAACAAUGAAUGGAGCUCUUAUGAAUGUAGAAGCUGCAAUGAAAAAAGUAGCAGCAUCUGUAUGUGAGCAUUGUGACCAGCCUGGAGCAUCUGUAAAGUGCUUCAAAGUGAGAUGCAGCAAAGUUUACCACCUCAACUGUGCAGUGAAAGAGGGAUGUACAUUUUACAAAAAUAAAACUGUGUAUUGUCAAGAGCAUAUUAACAAAGGGGAGAAAGAUAACGAGCUCUCGACCCUGUCCGUGUUCCGUCGAGUCUUCAUCGACCGCGACGAGAACAGGCAGGUGGCCUCGGUGAUGCACCACGCUGAUAUGAGCUACAUUCUUAGAAUCGGCUCAUUAAUUCUUCUAUCCAUAGGACAGCUUUUCCCACACCAGCUGCAGGCAUUCCAUACUCCUUAUUGCAUCUAUCCUGUGGGUUAUCAAGUGAUUCGGUUCUAUUGGAGCAUGCGUCGACUUCACAAGAGAUGUGCAUAUGAGUGUUCAAUCCACGAGAAUGAUGGUCAGCCAGAAUUUCGAAUAACGGUGAAAGAGGACGGUCACGAUGACCACACCUUUAUCAGCUGCUCCCCUAAGGGUGUGUGGAACAAAGUUCUUGAGCCUCUGGCAGAGAUGCGUCAGAAAGCAGAUGUUGUGAGGCUGUUUCCACAGUACAUCAGUGGAGAGGAUCUGUUUGGUCUCACCGAGCCAGCAAUUGUUCGUAUCCUGGAAUCUUUACCGGGCAUCGACACGUUGGGCGACUACAACUUCAAGUUUGGCCGUAAUCCCUUGUUUGAGCUUCCCCUGGCUGUGAACCCUAGUGGAUGUGCUCGAGCAGAACCUUUCAACAAAUUGCACCUCAAGAGAUACCAUGGGAUGCGUACCAGUGCUGGCUCAGUGCGCACCAGCAGCAACUGUAGAAAUGCUGCCAGUGUAGCAACCCUGACCAUGGCUUAUGAUCCCUUUGUGCCAUAUAGUAAAUUACAUGUCCAUUCAAGAUCAUCCCAGUACAAGAAGAUGAAGAAUGAGUGGAGAAGUGUUGUGUAUUUAGCAAGGUCCAAGAUCCAGGGUCUCGGUCUGUACGCCGCGCGGGAUAUAGAGAAGAACACCAUGAUCAUCGAGUACAUCGGGGAGAUCAUCCGCUCAGAGCUGGCAGAGGUACGUGAAAAGCGUUAUGAGGCUCAAAAUCGUGGCAUCUACAUGUUUCGUCUUGAUGACCAGCGGGUUGUGGAUGCAACAGUAACGGGCGGUCUAGCUCGCUAUGUCAACCACUCCUGUGGUCCUAACUGUUACACCGAGACUAUAGAAGUUGAGAGGGACCUCAAGAUUCUCAUUAUUUCCAAUCGCAAAAUUCUUCGAGGAGAGGAGAUUUCGACCCGUGUACGCACUUCAAACACUCUCUGGAGCACUUUCCCUCGAGACGGCCACCUGACGGCAGAGUAGUAAAGCAGGUGUUCAUACUCCGACUCCAUAUCAGAGCACAUCUGGUUGAACAGCCUUGAAUUCAGAGCUGAUGAUUUAAUAAAGUUUACUAUUUGAAUCACAUCUUCCAUCACAGAGCUGGCUUAUGAUUACAAGUUUGAUGAAGAGGAGGAUCACAAAAUUCCCUGUCUGUGUGGUGCAGAGAACUGUAGAAAAUGGAUGAAUUAAGGAGUCCCGACAGAAAGUACAACGUCCCAAGUGGACCUCAAUUUUUAGCAACAAAAGACAAAAUGGAAACAGAAAUUUAAUGGGUUUGUCGUAUAAUAUCUGUGCCUUGACACUUGAAUACGCAGCAUUACCAAACUCUUGUGACCUGUUUCGUACGAUGAACUUAUGGGUCAUAGUUAUUGCUUUGUUUACUUGACGAAAUGAAAAGAUAACCUCAAUUAUCUCGCCAAAGUAUAUAGUUAAUAGUGGUGUGUGGAAUUAAGACUUGAUAUAGUGUGUAAUUUGAUCUUUAAAUAUUUUUUUAUAUUUGUGUUUUCAUGUGAUUGAAUGUUUGUAAAUUACCUGUAUAUAUGUAAUAUUUAUGUGUAUAUAUGCUUAAAUGCAUAUAUACACAUACAUUUGUGUUUGUGUGUGUGUGUGUGUGUUUAUGCAUGUAUCCUAAAGUGAGUAAGUGCAAAUAUGUAUGUUUGUGGAUACAAAAGUGUGUGCAUGUAAGAAUGUAUGUAGAUGUUUGUGUAUCAAAUAGCUUGAAUUGUAUUAAAUUAAUUUAUUUCUAUUUGAAAUGAAAAGUUUUCAUGUAUUGAUGGUUGUGUCAAAACGUGGAUAAAAGAUUGUCUAUUUAGAACCAGAAAAUGUGACAGUGGGUCGGAAAUGUUGACGUGGCGCCGAAGGUCAAAAAGAGUUAGAUAACGUAAUGCAUUUAUGAGACAAGCCAUCAUGUAUGUGGUUGCUCGUUGUCUACAUGGGUAAAGUUUCACUUUUCAUGGCUGGCAGGAACAGACAAGCCAAGUGCCUUGUGCAAGGAAAUCAGCUUUCCAAGUCAGGGAUUGGAUUUAAACAUUUUGUGGCUGAAGUGCAAUUCUUUGUCCGAAAGGAAAUGUGAUUUCUAGUGUUUACAUUGAACUGGUCCAACUUUCCAAUUUAUGAAUUGAGUGGCCUAAAAACGUUCUUCCAUCACUUGUAAGACUGACUGUUAUGAACAUGGUACUACCAUUCAGUAGCACUCUAUCCAUUGUAAAAAUGUGAUUGAGAGACUUUAAUAGAGAGAAAGAUGGCCCAGUUUAUGUAAGUUGAAUCUUAGUUAUGAGGUGUAUUUAAAAUUUCUAUCAACAAUGGAUCUAUUUUCACACUAAAGGUUUAAAGACCAUUACCAUACUCCUUGGUGGCUCAUUCUCUUAUGUAAACAUUUUAUUAUAUAGAAAGAACUAUUAAGUAUCUUCAGCUCAAAUACUGUAUCAGAUGCAUUGUUCAUGACUGUGACUUCCCAUCCUGUUUCUUUUAAUGGUCACCCAUUCAAUAGUGCAUAUUGCACUGGAGUAAUAAUUGUGUUACCUCAACAGAGUAGUGUGUGUCCAGUUAUUGACUUUGCAGUAAUUUUGGGGUCUAUUUACCUUAUAAUAAAAGGAUAUUUUAAAGCCUUGAUUGAUACAAAUAAUUUGAAUAUAACACUACUAUUAGCACCCAUGAAAUGCCCUGGUUAUGUAUUAUUGAGUAAGGUGUAUAGACAGUCUUAUAUUUUACUUAAGUAAAACUUUAUGAAUAUAUAAAUUCUUUCAUCAGUUACUGGACAUAAAUAUUUCAAGUUAAAUCUUUAAAUAUGUAUUUUCAAAGCUUUUAGUAAACCUGUAUUAUUAUUAUUAUUAUGUAUCUUUUUCUUGCUUUUGCAUUUUGUUUCCCAGAUGUUAAUGGACAAGCAUGCCAAAGCAAUUAAAAUAUUAGUUUUUAACCUUAUUGUUUUCUUCCAUAAAAUUAAGUUGUUGUCUGUGUUUUUAAUGUAAUUUAUAAUAAUUUCCCUUUUAUAAAUCCUACUUAGAAUUUUAAGGCAUUUUAGGCAUAUUAAAUACAGUAAUAUACAUGGCAUUGUCUAUAGACCCUGUGCGAUUAAGUAAGGGCAUACGCAAUACUGCCCAUAUCCCUGUGAAUGUCGGUCAGUGAGUGGCUUGGUGGUGUGAGGAGUCUGGUAUUGUAAGAACAUAUUCUUCCAGGUUAACAUUUUUUGGCCAGCUUGUGUAUUAGAGAUUUUAGAGCAUAGCACAGGUAGGAGGAUGAGUCUUAGUUUAAACAGAUUACCACAAGCUGUCGGGUAAAUGUUAAGACAAAUGUUUUAUCUACUACACUUUUCUCCCUCAGCCACACCUGAACUCUCCCACCUUACCACGAGUGUAUCAUGUUGGAUAUUGAGUAUUAUGCCUGUCCUAUCCUCGUGAAUUAUGUAUUUUAUCUGAAAAUAUUUGUAUAAUAUAAGUAACCCAAGCAUUCUCAUGUUUGAUGUGUUUCGUCAGGAGUCAUAAUGGCUCAUGGAUGUCCUGCUGUUUGUGUGGAAUUCUGAAGCUGAACAAUGUCAAUAUGUAAAUAUAUUGUUGAAUACAGUCAAUAAAUCAUUUUUCAUGUA